rnacentral:rRNA from 1 species
GGAUUCUACCGUCGGUCGGGCUAACAAGUCUGUACUGGUGUGUAGAAUUUCUACCUUCUGGGGAACUAUCAUGUUAUUAAUUUAGCGUGGUGGGAAACCAGGACCUUUACCUUGAAAAAAUUAGAGUGUUCAAAGCAGGCUUACGUCUGAAUACAUUAGCAUGGAAUAAUAGAAUAGGACGGUGGUCCUGUUUUGUUGGUUUCUGAAUCACCGUA